rfam:Schistosoma margrebowiei strain Zambia genome assembly, scaffold: SMRZ_scaffold0000044
GCACUGCUGAGGAGUCCUACAGUAGGACGAAAUGGCCAUCCAGUAC